CAACAACAUGUCAUUACGCCCCCUCGUAACCUCCUUGUCCCACCCCCAUCGAAUCCUCCCGAUUCCGAUCUCCGAUCCCCAUCCUACGAUCUCAUCGAUCUCCGUCCUUCACCCCGCUCUGUCGUUGAUCUCCACGCUGCGGUGGAUGGCGAACACGAACGCAGGCAGAUCUGCGAGGAUUUGUUGCCAAGGAGAGUGAGACUGUGGGGGUGAUCCAGACGGCAUCUGAUUCAGGCACCGCGAUAGCAUCUCAUUCGAUCAGCUGCAGAAGUUCUGGAGUGAGCUAUCCCUUCAUGCUCGAAAGGAGUUCAUGAGGCUCGAUAAAGACUUUAUUUGAACAAGCUAGGAGGAGCCUCUACUGUUCCAGAUGCAAUGGGUUGCUUCUGGAAGUCUUCUCACAAAUUGUAAACUAUGGGAAGUCAAUGCAACAAGAAGGUUCUGGUUUUCAACUUUCAGAUAAAGCUGGGAAUUGCCAAUCCCAGGACCGUAGUCACAUAGAUGAGGUACAGGAUCCAUCACUAUAUCCUUGGGGUGGUCUGACAACAACUAAGCAUGGUAUUCUCACUGUUCUUGACUGCUUUGUCAGGGCAAGGUCACUGAAGCCACUGCAAAAUGUGUUUGAUAGUGCUUGAGUUGGGCAACAUGAACACGGAGGUGGAGGCAGGGGUUGGAUUAGCCAAGGGAUUGCUAAUUACGGUAAAGGACACGGAUUAAGAGAGACCUGUGUGUUGCAUACUGCUCGACAUUCUUGUGAUACACUUGUGGACUUCUGGUCCGCUUUAGGUGAGGAAACCAGAUUAUCUCUCUUACAGAUGAAAGAGGAGGAUUUUAUUGAAAGACUUAUAUACAGGUGCAUUCUUUCAAGGGUGAG